UGGUGCGCAGCAGUUGCCAGGGGAUAUCGAAGGGGAGGGGUUAUGAUUGGCUGAAGUGGGUCUGUUGCCUUGGCAACGGCAUAGGGGUUUGGUAGCGUUGCUGUGCGGCGUGAUCUGUGCGCAGCGCGGAUGGAGGAAACAGUUUGAGCAGCAGAACGCAGCGACUACUGACGCGCUUCAGCGGAACACGGCUCGGCGUGCUUCAAUCAGACGUCCUUGAUUUAAUGGGUCCCAUCAUCGGGAUGUCGCCGGAUAAGAAAGCAGAAUCCCCGGGCGUGGUGGAGGAGCGGGCGUGCCUGCGCGGGGUUUGUGGGACGCUGCCCGAGGCCGAGUGCGCCGCCAGCCCUCUGGCCACCAGCCUGGACCGCAGCUCCAGCUCAGGAGACGAAGAGCUCACCAACCUCAACUGGCUCCACGAGAACCUGCUUCAGAACUUCACGCUGGGCAGCCCCGAGGCCCAGUCCAGACCCAGCCCGCUCUUCGACAUCGAGGGCAACCACGGCGCUUCCGUCAUCUCCUCGGCCGCGGCGCACGCCAGAGAGUCCGUCAAGUCCAAGCCGCCGUUCUCCUUCUCCCUGCUCAUAUACAUGGCCAUCGAACAGUCGCCCAGCAAGUCGCUGCCGGUGAAGGACAUCUACGGGUGGAUCCUGGAGCACUUCCCGUACUUCUCCAGCGCCCCCACUGGGUGGAAGAACUCGGUGCGCCACAACCUGUCCCUCAACAAGUGCUUCCGCAAGGUGGAGAGGAGCCUUGGGAAGGUUAAUGGGAAGGGCUCUCUGUGGUGUGUGGACCCUGAAUACAGACCCAAUCUGAUCCAAGCCCUGAAGAAACAGCACUUUCCCUCAGCCCACUCCUUCUGCACGCCCCCUGCUUCCCCACCCAGUGCCUUCUCACCCGCACGUCACCUCUUCCUCCAGGGCUGCUCUCUCAAAGAGUCUGACAUUGAUGCCGCCACUGCUAUGAUGCUUUUAAACUCGGCCCCUGGACACCAUAGUGACCCAUGCGACCCGGACAGCCCCAUAGACCUCUCGCGCCCGCAUUCGGUCCUGGUGAGCAGCGACCCGAAGCAGGACCACAACUACAGCAGCUCGUCUCGCUCUUCCUCGUCCUCGCUGUCCUCCCUGGACGAGGCCGGCUGUGACUCGGGCCAGGGCCGCCGCGCCGGCAGCGAGGGUUUCCAUAGCGACGAGGAUUCGGAGGAGGAGAGGAACCCUCGUCUGCCCUCGCUCACCGUCAAGUGCCCUCUUCCGGUUAAACGGGCCCGUCAUGAGUCCAAACUGGAACUGGACGAGGAGUUGAAGGAGGCGGCCGGGUCUCUGUUGCACCUGGCUGGGAUUCGGUCUGGCUUGGAUCUCUCGAAGCGAACGGCUAAGAGUAAAAAGCCGGAAAAGCACCGGAAAUGAAUGGUUUAGUGACAUUUUAACCCCUGGACUGUGUAUCAGUGACUGUGCCUCCUCAUUUUUCACAUCAUUGAAACCAUCUCUCUUGUUUUUUUGCAUUUUUAUACGAGAGAAUUCCCUCCCUCCCGGCAAUAGCAACCCUCACACGGAGGUGAAUGAAGCCAUACUGAGACUUACGGAGAAACGCAGGUUGUUGUGCUUCAGGAUGAAGGAUUGAGAUGAAGGAUGAAGGGAGAAAUUGGUGUUUUUUCUCUUAAACGUUUGCAUGCUUCCUCUUUAAAACAAAGAAUGCAAUAAUUCUGAUCAGGCGGGUGGCGUUACAUUCGUUCUCCUCAUCAGAGGUGCUGGAUAUGUGUUGGGUUGUCAUCAGGUCUGAGCGGAUGUGUGCAGAAACAAUCUACAGAUAACCGAUUUCUUUAAGGAUCCGUCAGUGGUGUUUGGUGAUGUUUAUGGGGUAAAUCUCAUGUAAACAGGUCACACUUCACUCCAGAAUCAAAAUAAAGAAAAAUAAAUGAUAUU